GACGAACGCUGGCGGCGUGCUUAACACAUGCAAGUCGAACGGAAAGGCCCUGCUUUUGUGGGGUGCUCGAGUGGCGAACGGGUGAGUAACACGUGAGUAACCUGCCCUUGACUUUGGGAUAACUUUAGGAAACUGGGGCUAAUACCGGAUAGGAGCUCCUGCUGCAUGGUGGGGGUUGGAAAGUUUCGGCGGUUGGGGAUGGACUCGCGGCUUAUCAGCUUGUUGGUGGGGUAGUGGCUUACCAAGGCUUUGACGGGUAGCCGGCCUGUGAGGGUGACCGGCCACAUUGGGACUGAGAGAAGGCCCAGACUCCUACGGGAGGCAGCAGUGGGGAAUAGUGCACAAUGGGCGGAAGCCUGAUGCAGCAACGCCGCGUGCGGGAUGACGGCCUUCGGGUUGUAAACCGCUUUCGCCUGUGACGAAGCGUGAGUGACGGUAAUGGGUAAAGAAGCACCGGCUAACUACGUG
rnacentral:rRNA from 1 species